rnacentral:rRNA from 1 species
UACAGAGGGUGCAAGCGUUGUUCGGAAUUAUUGGGCGUAAAGGGCGCGUAGGCGGUGCGGUAAGUCUGUAGUGAAAUCUCUGGGCUCAACUCAUAGUCUGCAUCGGAAACUGCCGGGCUUGAGUAUGGGAGAGGUGAGUGGAAUUCCUGGUGUAGCGGUGAAAUGCGUAGAUAUCAGGAGGAACACCUGUGGCGAAAGCGGCUCACUGGACCAUAACUGACGCUGAUGCACGAAAGCUAGGGGAGCAAACAGG